GACUUGGCUAUAUGGUAAUACCGCACUCCAUAUUCAAUCACUUAGCCUAAACAUUUUCGUACCUGUCUGGUCAAUAAAUGCGAUCUUGUAGACUUUGUCACCAACUGAUUCUACUGGUCCACAAUCUCCGCCACCGGAUUUACGUUUAACUCCAAAGUACCUUUUUAUCAUAUGUUUCUGUGGUGGGUCCAGAGUCUGGCACUCGAAGAAAACAGGGUAUUUGAAAACUUCCAUAUUAUGAAGUAGCCUGGCUAUUAUUUGUCGUUGACCCUAUUAGAAAGAGCAAAUCAGUCGAUCGAGGAGAAUACGUAGACGACACUACAUGCACACUCGGACUCCUAUAUUUUUAUCAUAUUUGCCUGAACUUUAGAUAUGGUCCGCCCUGGCCCAAAAAUAGACGUCUAUUAUUGGUCCAGAUUUUGUCAGUCCAGACAAUCCCCAAAUCAACUUCCGUGGAUUUGUUGCACUCUUGAGGGGAUUCGAUUAAUAUGUCCCGGGCGCCAAGUCAAGGGCUGCCAAAAAAGUCCAAGUACCCCUGACUGCAGUGUGCAGUUCGGCUGGCUCAAUGUGGGCGGAAUCAGACGUUUGAGAAAUAUGAUGUAAAGUGGUACCAGCACAUGUGUUGUCACACUUUUUGCUCCAUGCUAUAUUUGAGACAAGCUACUGUUAUUGUUGCCGUGAACAACAUACUUGAUAUGUGUGUCAUGUACUGUUAAAAUUGUGUUGAUAAAUGUUAUAACUUUGUAAUGAUAUUAUUUAAUUGAGCAUAUAUACACAGUUAAUACCUAUCCUGAUUUCUAAUGCUGUUUACUUUCCUCAUGAGAAUGAAGACAGACUACACCAUAUAGACGUACUGACAGGCUGAAUAUGCUUCCUACAUUACGUUAGACGGUCUCCAGUAAAGAGAUCAGAGACGCGGGUGACUUCUAUGUCAUGUUUACUAAACAGCAGAACACAAUUAACCCAGCAGAGAAAAACAAGGCUUGACACUCCUCAAAAAUGGCUUCACUUCUGCUCCUCCAGAAUACACUCAAAUCAAAUCAAAUCAAAUUUUAUUUGUCACAUACACAUGGUUAGCAGAUGUUAAUGCGAGUGUAGCGAAAUGCUUGUGCUUCUAGUUCUGACAAUGCAGUAAUAACGAGCAAGUAAUCUAACUAACAAUUCCAAAAAAAAC
rnacentral:lncRNA from 1 species